AUUUAUAUAGUUUAAUAAAACAUUACAUUUUCAUUGUAAAAUUAGAUAUUCUAUCUUAUAAAUA
rnacentral:tRNA from 1 species